rnacentral:rRNA from 1 species
AAAAUUUAAAGCCUGAAUUAUUAGUAGUUAAGAUCUUGAAAAUUAAAGGAGAUGGCGGUAUUUUAGUCUAUUCAGAGGAAUCUGUCCUGUAAUCGAUAUUCCACGAUUUAAUUUACUUAAGGUUUUAGUUUAUAUAUCGCUGUAGAUUGAAUAUUUCUAUUGAAAUUGAAUAUUCAUGAGGUUUAAGGAAAGUAUAUCAAGUCAAGAUGUAGCUUAUCUUUAAGAAGAGAUGGAUUACAUUAUUUUUAUAUGUGGGUAAUGAUUUGAAAAGGUUAUUAUAAAAUGGAUUUGAAAGUAAUUUGUUAUUAAGAUUUAACAGAUGAUUAAAGCUCUAAAUA